GCCCACAACACCUUGCUCAGCCACACCCCCAAGGGUAUACAGCAGUGAUAAAUAUUAAGCCAUAAGUGAAAACUUGACUUAGUUAAAGCUAAAAGGGCCGGUAAAACUCGUGCCAGCCACCGCGGUUAUACGAGAGACCCAAGUUGAUAGACUCAUCGGCGUAAAGGGUGGUUAAGAGUAAACUAAAACUAAAGCUGAACAUCUUCAAAGCAGUCAUACGCCCCCGAAGAUAAGAAACUCAACUACGAAAGUGGCUUU
rnacentral:rRNA from 1 species